UACGUAGGGAGCAAGCGUUGUCCGGAAUCAUUGGGCGUAAAGCGCGCGUAGGCGGCCCUGUAAGUCCGUUGUGAAAGUCAAAGGCUCAACCUUUGAAAGCCGAUGGAUACGUGCAGGGCUAGAGUCCGGAAGAGGCGAGUGGAAUUCCUGGUGUAGCGGUGGAAUGCGCAGAUAUCAGGAGGAACACCAAUAGCGAAGGCAGCUCGGCUGGGACGGUACUGACGCUAAGGCGCGAAAGCGUGGGGAGCGAACAGG
rnacentral:rRNA from 1 species